UACAAAUAGUUCUGAAUCCUUAUUAUGAGCAAUAUACUCAUCUGGCACCGAGAGGAUUAUUUUUUAAAAAUAUACAGCCUGUCUAGUUGUGAAAUAAAACAGAAAUCUAUGAAGUAACUAGAUUAUAAAAUUACCUCAUAUGAGAUAACAAAUGUGAAGCUUCUAGCAAAUGAUAAACACGUAAUAAAGUACUGUCACGUUAUGGAUAAUAUUUUCUAUGUUAAUAAUUAUUAUGAUCCAGCUAUACUUUUAAUAACGAGAAGAAGAAAUAAUAACUGCUGUAGCCACCAUAUAAUGAAUGAUUCUGUGUUAAGCUCUGAGCUGGGAGUUCUGUGCAUGUUUAGUCAUGAUAGCAAUUCUGCUAAGUCAGUAUUAUGAGUUCUCUUGCUCACAUGAAGAAACAGAAGGCCACAGAAGAAUCCCCCCCCCCCCACUCACCAGUCAUGGAAUAUACAAUGGACUCAAAGAGUAAGGAGCUGGGCAUGGUGGCACAGGACUGUCACCUCAGCUACUCUAGAGGCUGAGGCAAGUUCAGGCCAGUCUGAAGUACAGAGUGGCUUCAAGGCCAUCCUGGGCAGCUUGGUGAGAUUCUAUCUUGAAAUAAAGGGGGUGAAUAGUUCAGUGGUAGAAUACUUGGCCUGCAUGUGCAGGGUCCUGAGGUCAACCCCCAGUGUGUGCGGAGAGGAAUGGGGAGUCAAUUCUGCUGGAGAAAACUGGGAGGGGUCUCUGCGUGGAGAGUACACUGGGUGAUGCAAACCCUGCAGUCUGCAGUUAGAGAUAAAGUUUUUGAAACAAGUCUUUCCUGGGAGCAGUAAUACCUUGACCUAAAUUUUCAAUAAAAUGUGACUGUCUGGACAAUGGUCUUUUGAUGGUGGAGGAAGUAGGGCACAGGGGUGCCUGUACACCCUGUAGGUCAGGUCCACCCAGAACUGUGCUCAGGAAUGUAUGCAUGGUGAAUGCAUGACUCAGGUCUCUUCGCUCAAGAGGGACAGAAGAAGAGGGGGAAGGAGGCACGUCAGUAGAACAACAGCAAACCUGUUUGUCUGGAGUGGAGAAUUAGAAGAAAACAAAGUUAGAAUGUAUGUGUUCUACAAACCCCAAACCCGGCCCUUAAUGUAGCCCAAAGGCCCGGCGGCAUUACACAUAUAGUCCUAAAAGAGCUUCCCUUCACGGACAGCCCAAGCUGCCCACCUCCAAUACUACUUCCUGUUAAUCUCCUCGCUGAUCUUCACUUCCCAAGGUAACAGUGUUGGUUGACUUCCUGCUAUGUGCCAGCUGCUUUUCUGGUGCCAGGGACAGAGCAGUGAGCAAAAUAAAGAUCUCUUCAUUUUCCUUCUAUUGAGAAAGCAGAGACGUUAGAGUGGAACUGAGUAGGGAGAAACGUUGCAGAUACCCACACUUCUGGACGGUGGAUGUGGCGGGCGGGUGCUCCUUUUGUUAGGAUGAGAUGAGACCCAAAUGGUCUGUAGUCAGGCAGCCGGAUGGACAGAAAUGUAUUGGUCUCAUGAUUCUGAAGACUUCGGUACCAAGAUCAAGAUUUCAGCAAACGUUUUUCAUCAAACCUCCGAGAAGAGUAUGAUCUGUUCUUCCCUGCUGGCUCCUGAGAAUCUGUAGGUGUGGUCAUGCUCUGUCCCAUAGGACCCUCCCCACCUUCAUCUCCAGAGCUUUAGCUCAUCUUCGAUGAACACUUGACUGCAGACAGGACGUUUAGGUUAGUCCACAGGUCAGCUCACCGCCUAUCAGGGAGCCUGGUGCAAACAUUUGCAUUAAAGGGAAACAGUGACUCGAUCUUCGACCAAGGAGAUGCUUUCUCUCAAGAGUCUGGAGCCAUCAUGUGAGAGAAUUAGUCAGAGGAAUAGAAGCCAAGAGACACAGAGAGAGCGAGAAGCAGAAGUCAAUCUCCAUCAUUUCUGGGAUCAAGUUAACCUCACCAAGAAAGAUAGGCCCCCAAGGCUGCUGGUGCUGUUAGUAGCGCUCCACCAGGAGAGGAGUUUCAUGUCUCCCACCUCUGUAUCAGCAUCAAGGAAAUCUUCAAAUGCCAACACCUUCUGGUUCCAACUUGGAGCUUUGGGCAUGUGUCAUGUGCCACUGCCUACUUUUGAAAAAUCUCAGUUAUGGCAUCUUUUUGUGCAUGUCAAACUAGUGCUUGGCACAGGGCCUGGUACACGCUUGGAGACCAAUGAAAACAUGCAGAAAUACCCUCUGCCUAUGUCAGGUUGAAUGCCUGCAGCAUUGGAUGGAAACCCCUGAGUUCUAACUCUAAAACCACCUGCAUAGUAAUGUGGACAAGCAAUUUGGUCUUCUAGGUCUCCAUUCGCUCCGCUGUAAAUGAGGGUGUGAGAGUUGCUUCUCUGGUUGGGCUGUUGUGAGGUUUAAAAUAGCAGAUGUGUGAAAGUCUAUACACACCAAGCCCUCUGAGGUAUGAACUGUGCUAAAGCAGGAGGAAACUGUUAUGUGAAAGGGACAUGCUUUAAUCUCUUCCGAGUAGAAAGCAAAUGCACCUCAGGACACAAGGUUCUCUCUGACAGAAAGGCAGACAUUGAAGCGCUGGGUAAUAGCUCAGUGGGUAAGAACACUUGUUGUGUAACCAUGAGGACCUGAGUUCAGAUCCCCAGGGCCACUCACACUUUGCAGGGGUGGAAUGAGACAGCAGGAUCGCUGGGGAUUGCUGGUCACCAGACUAACGAGACAAACUAACAAUGACAGAAAAAGGUGAGCUCCAGGUUUAGAGACAGUGCGGAACUGUUUCAAGAGAUUAGGUGCAAGGGACAUGAUGGAGAACACCAGAUGUUUUCCUCUUCAGGCUUCUGUAUGCACCAUAUGCAUAAAUGCUCACAUAUAUGCAUGCAUGCAUAUACACACUCUCAUACAGAACACACACACACACACACACACACACACACACACACACACACAUAACCACACACACACACCACACGGCACAAAUUCCUCUUGGCCAGUUGGAGAGAAAUAAGUAGAUUUUACAGUUGGUUGGGCUUUCAGCUUAAAAAUCUUGCAAUUUUGGAAUUUAAAACUAAAUAGAGUUGUUUGUAUUAUUUUAAGAACCUCAAAAAGGAAUAUUACUAUUGUCAUACUAAUUUAUUUUGAACACAUCUCAAUCAAUUUUUUAUGAAACACCCCUUUAAUGAACGCCAUGACUUGACAGAAAGGAAAUGAGAAAAUACAGUUUGUGUUGUGAAAUGGAUGGUUCUCCAUGGUCCUGCACAGCUGUAUAAUGGGGCAGGCUGUAGCCUCUGGAUCUGCUCAGCACCGACCCUGGAAUUUCCAAAAUGUCAUAACAGCAUGCUUUCAAAAUAAUAUGCUCAGGCCCUACACCCCCAAGUGUGUAAUAUUGUCAGGGUGUUUUAUCUGCUGCCAUGGAUUGUGCACAUGACGAAUCCAUUUCCCCCAACAAACCAUCACGUAUGUCCACACUGUCUAUAAAUUUUGAAUUCUGACAGCUCUGCAAUUAUCCUCUGACGUCUGGAUUGGCCUGGGUUGAAUGUAAUCGGAGGGUGAUGUUCUUAAAGAA